CUGGGCUACACGCGGGCUACAAUGGGUGGGACAAUGGGUAUCGACACCGAAAGGUGAAGGCAAUCUCCUAAACCCAUCCGUAGUUCGGAUUGUGGCUGCAACUCGCCCACAUGAAGCUGGAAUCUGUAGUAAUCGUGUCUCAAAUGGCACGGUGAAUAUGUCCCUGCUCCUU
rnacentral:rRNA from 1 species